rnacentral:rRNA from 1 species
UACGUAGGGUGCAAGCGUUUUCCGGAAUUAUUGGGCGUAAAGAGCUCGUAGGCGGUCCGUCACGUCGGCUGUGAAAACCCGGGGCUCAACUCCGGGCCUGCAGUCGAUACGGGCGGACUAGAGUACUGCAGGGGAGGCUGGAAUUCCUGGUGUAGCGGUGAAAUGCGCAGAUAUCAGGAGGAACACCGGUGGCGAAGGCGGGUCUCUGGACAGUUCCUGACGCUGAGGCACGAAGGUCAGGGGAGCAAACGGG